CAAUUCGUAUAAAAUAGUGGGAGGACUUUUAGACUAAAGUCCAAAUCUUUAGGAUUAAUAAAUUCAUAUACUAAUUAGGCUUUGUUCUUUCUUUGUGUGUGCAGAUAUGGCCUCAAACUUAUCACUCUGAUUACUGUUGGAUAGUGAGAAGCUUACCAGAUCGAAUUUCGAUAAUUAGUAUCGAAAAUUAAAGAUUAUCCUGGAGCACGAGCGGAUCCUCUAUGC
rnacentral:lncRNA from 1 species